AUAAUCUUUACUCUACCACAUGCAGCUAAUUUAACACAACUCAUACAAGCUAACUCCAUGAACACAACCACCAGCACUCCUACCCCAACCAGUGCUACAACACAGCCUCCAAGGUACCCUAUAGUCAUUGGGCUGAGAGCUAGGAUCACAACCACAGUGGCGCUGGAUACAAAUCUAACGAACAAAAUUUUGCAGCAGUAUAUAUCAUACCUCCAGCAAUACAAUGUAACUGCGAGAGUGACGAGCAUUAAGAAGUUAUGAAGGGCUGUGUCAGGAGGACCUUCAAGAUUGUUGUUGGGUUGUUGGGUUGUUAUAAUCUAUUCUACCUUUUUUCAAAUCCUUGUUAAAGAUUAGCAUUUAAAGCCAUCAUGAUGAUUUGUGGGAGGAAAUUAAAAGUAACUGUUACUGAUAAUAAAUGCUUUUUCUAUGAUUUGUCAACAAUGGAUGAAUUACUGAAUAAAUCCUGCAUGAGAAGAAAACUCCCUUAUGUUUAUUGUCUCACUAAUUUCCCAAUUUAUCUCUAUAUUUUAAGUCCUGAAAGAGUAUUUGAAUGAUGUGAUAAAUAGUGAUUAUGUACAGUACCAUUAAACUACUAGAAUAAACACUGCACUGUAUAAAGUAUACAAGCCUGAAUUGUGUUAUAUGUUGAUUCUUUCUAUGAUUGGAGUUAAAGAUGUGGUGAAUCAGGUAUAUCUGACUUUGUACAUACUGGAAAAGAAAAAAAAAAACGAGAUGGCAUGAGGAAGAGACUUUGUAGGGAACCACAUUUAAACUGGUAAACCCUCUACUACCCUCUACUGGGUGGCAAUAGGAUUGAUUAUGCAAUGAAAAACAAGUGUCUAAAGGAAGCCAUCCAUCA